GCUCCCGCAAACCUAAAGCUUUAGCUCAAUAUUUGUUGGCCAAACAUAAACACAUUUGCGUUGGGUUCUCGUGAGAGUUUUGGCGUGGAUUUAUACAACAGCUCUAGUGCGUGGCCUGAUAACUCACGGCCUCUAUUGAUUCAGCCAAGUCUGUGAUGUACAACUCUUUUAAGAUGCCGCCUCCUUAUUGGCAUCCAAUCAGCGAGGGCCUACCGGUCUCUUUGACAAAGAUGAUUGAAUGAUAGGGAUUUGUUGACAUAUAAUAAGUUUCUUCAAAUGGAACUAUUAUUCUAAACCAAUCUUUACGGACAAGACAAAAGAGAGCUAUCGGGAGCGGGCGGCAUGGACUCUCGAGUUUGACGAAAUCUGUGACACUUAGAAGAUAGUUUACCUCUUAGCACCUGUGCGAGAGCCCCGCUAAUCUAUUACUUUAGCCGGAAAAAACUACAUAGUAAAGCUUGAGUCUGUUCGUACUUCACGCCUCUCGAUUGUUAACGGAAGUUCUAAUCGUCGGUUUGAAGUCGGUAUAAUAAUAGUGGUGAAAACACACCAUUCAUACUCGGGGCCCGGUCGCCAUGACCCUAACUCACGGGCUUAGUGCAUUUCUAUGUACGAAUAGCACCCUUCAGGUAAUUGGAUCUGCACCCUAGUGGGUGUUUGACUCGAGAGAGGGGGCGUUCAGGGUACGUUUAGGGGCGUUUGAUGGGACGGCUCGUAAUAGUGGCACCAUCAAGCUAGAUGAACGUUCCUGUCUCUUCAAAGCAUGGCUUACCGACAGAACCAGUCAGCCGUAUGUAAGCCCUUCGCUGCAUUCAAAUACACACAGCACAAUGCGAAGACAAUACGAGCUUAUUGUUGAGCACAAGCGUGGACAUGAUUACCAGCCUGAUUCUAUAGCUUAUUCAUUAGCUAUUGAAGCUUAAUCUUGCCGACUCCAUUUUUUAGAAAACGCUCUCUACUCGAGUAAUUUCUGCGCUGGACUUCAGAUUCCAGCUGGGAGAGGGAUGCGUAGUUUAUCUAAAGUAUAAUAGUCUCAGAUAAUACGCGAACAUGAUUCGCUCUAUGGGGUCCACCGUUUGCUCAGUGUGUGUUGAUCGUUUACAUGCUGAGUCGAUUUUUUUUACCAAGCAGCUAUUAAACGUCUCUUGUCUUUUUGUUUA